GUGUCGGUUUUGAAGAGGAUUAGUAAUCGUUCAUGUCGAUUUUCAGAGAGCAGGCGGUUGGUGGGAGCUUGCAACGGCAGCGAUGAACUCGCCUUGGAGCCUGCAUUGGUGAAAUGACUAGUAACCCAUGCCGUUUUCCGCGUUAAGGAUUCAAGUUGGGCAGCCUUGCUGUCAAUUUGGGUGGUACCGCGGGAAUGCGUUUUAGACUCUCGUCCCUUGC
rnacentral:ncRNA from 1 species